rnacentral:rRNA from 1 species
CCCUUAGAUGUUCUGGGCUGCACGCGCGCUACACUGAUGCGCUCAACGAGUUUUAACCUUGCCUGGAAAGGUUGGGUAAUCUUUUUAAAACGCAUCGUGAUGGGGAUAGAUUAUUGCAAUUAUUAAUCUUCAACGAGGAAUUCCUAGUAAGCGCGAGUCAUCAGCUCGUGCUGAUUACGUCCCUGCCCUUUGUACACACCGCCCGUCGCACCUACCGAUUGAGUGAUCCGGUGAAUAAUUCGGACUGCGGCAUUGACCGGUUCCCGAUCGUUGCUGCGGAAAGUUUAGUGAACCUUAUCACUUAGAGGAAGGAGAAGUCGUAACA